rnacentral:rRNA from 1 species
CUUGACCUCCUCAGAGGUCCAGCCUGCCCAGUGACUUUGUUCAACGGCCGCGGUAUUCUAACCGUGCAAAGGUAGCAUAAUCACUUGUUUUCUAAAUAAAGACCAGUAUGAAAGGCAUCACGAGGAUUAAACUGUCUCCUUUUUCUAAUCAGUGAACCUAAUCUCCCCGUGAAGAAGCGGGGAUUAACCUAUAAGACGAGAAGACCCUGUGGAGCUUAAAACAUUAAACACGUGCCCUCCCCACCCAUUACUCCGGUANNUCCCCUUCCCUCGACCCUGAUCGUAUGUUUUUGGUUGGGGUGACCGCGGAGAAAGCCCAUCCUCCGCAUGAAGAGACUCCCUCUAAGCAAUAAGUUACAACUUUAAGCAUCAAAAAUUGACCUAACUGACCCAUAAUUUGAUCAAUGAAGC